AUCCAUAUCACACAUUGUCCUAUUAAGACGACAUGUCGUUAAUUAGAAACGACAUGUCGUUUUUGUGCGUGUGUAAGGGACCACUUGCCGUUUUGCUGACGUAAUCGAUGAUGUCAGCCAUUUUUUUUUUUUUUAAAAGAGUUUUGGGGUUCAAAAGGAGAAAAAAAUAUGGAGUUGAUUAAGGUUUAUAGUUUGGCACAAGCUUAAAAAUUAAAACUAAUAUAAAUUAAUUUUGGAAGUGAUAAAAAAUGUGGAAUUGGUUGGAUAAAUAAAUGUGUUUGAUCAAAUUUUAUGUUAUUUUAAGUUGUUUAUACGUAGUUAUGUAUAUAUAUACACAUAUAUAUACACUUUAAAUGUAGAUGAAAAUGAGCAGCAUUGGCAAUUUAAAUUGAAAUGGUUAUUUUGUAUUGUUUAGAAUUAUAUAAAUUAUGUAUUCGUAAUUUAGGAUUAUGGUUAUUUAUAUAUGCAUACAUAGUUGACUAUGUGGCUAAAGGUAGUUAAAAAGUUAUUAAUGUUGUCAAGUUACAUUUAUAGAUUGUAUUUUAUAAUGGCAUCAAAAAGGAAUUUGCGAUCUCAAUCGAAGAAGGGAGUUAAGAAGAUGCAAACUAAGAGACGCGGUGGCAGCAUAUCAACACCCGACUCUAAGCAUCGACGAACUACUAGGUAGCAAUCCAAAGCUGAGAAAGAAACUACCAAACUUCCAAGACACAUUCCAAUCUCCUCUUCCCCAUCUGAGAUGGCCAACGACACUCCAAAGGAACAGAUUUUUCAAAAUGCCGAUAUAUUUAAAGUUAGGGCACAUUCAUUCGGGAAUCCAAUAGAAGCGAAUGAAGUAAUUACAAGUGUCCUCACAAGUGAGCAGUUGGAAAAGUAUAGACAAACAUGUUUUGGACACUUACUUGACAUGAAGAACCUCAAGUUCUCUGGUCAUCUAGUGCAUCACCUGUUUUGUAGACGAAUUGUGUCCAACAAUCUAGAAGUAUUGGAGUUUAACUUCGGCGGAUCUGGAGUGCGGUUUACGAAGUGGGAAUUUGCACUAAUUAGUGGCUUAAAGUUUUGUAGUUGCCCUUCCAUAUAUGAUAUGCUAAAUCCAAAAGGAAAUGAGCUGCGCACGAGGUUGCUAGAAGAUAUGACUGACUUGAAACCGCUCGAACUGGCUUGAAUAUUCAAGGGUACACAUUAUGUGGAUGAUUGGGAUGCUAUAAGAAUUACAUUACUAUAUUUCUUAGUUCAUGGUGUACUCGGAAUGGAUUCGAGGGUUCAAAUAAAUAGAAAAUUCAUUGAUUUGGUUGCUGAUAUGGAGGUAUUUAAUUCCUACCCUUGGGGCUUUUUGAGCUACAAGGAGACAAUUGACUCAUUGCACAAUGCAUUCCACCAUAGAGGACGUGCAGUAAAGAAUAAAUCACAGUCGUAUGAUCUAAAAGGUUUUCCAUUAGUGUUUCAGGUGUGGGGGUUUGAAGUAAUCCCUGAUUUCGGUAACCAUUUUGGCGAGCGGUGGGAAACCCAUUGUCCGAGGAUCCUUGGAUGGCAUGCUACAAGUUAGCCAAGCCAUUUUGCUGUCCAUUAUUGGUUCACCUCAAAUAGCAAGUAUGUUGCGCACUGGAGGUUAGACGCUACCGAUGAGGGGAAGACUAUGGAUUAUUAGCGAACAAUAGCAGUGAACAUACAUAAAGUUCGCUAUACGAUACCACCACUUGUAGCACCGAUAGCCACCGUUGGUGCUAAAGAUGCGUCCAAAGUUGAGGAGCAUUCUAGUGCCCCUCCAGAUGCUAAUUUCAGGCUUGCUUGCUUGGAGGCAAAAUUUGAUGAAUUAAAGAAAUUUGUGGAUGAUUGUCAUCACGAAGCGAAGUAAGAGAUGGCAUCGUUAAGGAAGAUGCUUAGUUCUGUUAUUGACCAACUGAAGCAUCAGGCUGAACAUCAUAUGCACACCCAUUCACCAUCUUCGGUGUGACCAUCAUCCCCUCUGGCACCGUCAUUUGGAAAGCAAGCCGAAGAAUUUUAUGCACCCAUAGAAGGUUCCAAUGGUAGGAAGGAGGAUGACAAUUAUACAAAACCGUUCGAGCCUAUCGUACCUGAAGGAGCCUAUGUGGAGGAUUCUUGGGCUUUGGUGCCAUAUCGGCCUUUGCAUUUGGGGUGGGAUAUCAGUGCUUCAACUAACAAUCCAUAUCAUGACCAAUUAGCUGAGAGUGAGGUGGAGGCUUAGACGCAUAAAGUUGGUGAUAAAAGCCGAUUCGGUAGAGUUUACCACCACUCACAUCAUGUCAUCUCUCUUUACAUCGACCCGUGUAAGAAGAAGGUCAAAUUUAAUCUUAAUCGACAUAUUGAUGCAUCAAAGGAGAGGGCGUUCGAUGAGUGGUAUAGGGUGGCACCGAAUGGAGUGACCGUGUGUACAUCUUAUCUGAUGGUGGGGAAGAAAUUUUUUGCUGAGUUACUUACCCCUGCAGGAUGGUUGAGUUCCGAUCACAUUGACACUAUUUUGUAUUUCAUACGAAAAUGACGGUUUGAGAAUGAGAAGAUGUUCACCCACAACUGUGCCAUAUUAGACAUGUUAUUUUGGUCAUCCAUCAAAGGCCGUUAUCCCAUAUGGGAGGCAUCUCGAAGCACAUAUUCAUGUGAUUCGACACUUCGUAGCUAUGUGCGUGGGAAGUCACCCAAACUUAGCAUGCCGUGGUAGAGAUGUGAUUAUGUGUACAUCCCUGUCAACAAUGGAGGCGCCCAUUGGUUGGCAGCAUGUGUGGACUUGAAGGCUCAACAUAUUGAUUUAUAUGAUCCAAAUAUGGGAAAUAAAUAUGUCCAGAAUAAAGAGUUGGACAAUGCGAAAUGCCUUAAGUAUAUGCUGCCUUACCUAUUGAGGGAUGGGGGAUAUUACGAGAAGAAUCCGGAAGUGCUUCCCACUUUAGAGCCAUUCACGAUGACCAUAUCAAGGAUGCACCUUGCCAAGAUAAUGGUUAUGAAUGUGUUGUCAUUUCCAACCACUUCUAUUGCUGUUGUUUAAUUGUACUUAUGUGUAGAAAUUCACGUGGUUGGUUUUCAUUAAUGUUAUUCAUUAAUGCUAUUCUGUAGGGGUGAUAGUGGUGUCUUCGCUUUGAAAUUUAUUGAAUACAAGAGCAGUGAGGAGAACCUUUUAUUUAGCCCGAAAGACAUUAGCUUGUUUAGAAAA